rfam:Ictidomys tridecemlineatus contig099128, whole genome shotgun sequence.
GGGAAUGUGGCUCAGUGGUAGAGUGCUUGCCUGGUAUGCAUGAGGCCUUGGGUUCAAUCCCGAGCACUUGUG